GCAUCACACAGGUUGGAGUCAAUUUCCAGUUAAAGCAACAAAAAUAUAACUAAAGGCCCAACACUAUAUCAACUAGGCUUACAUAGAAGCCAAUAAAACACCUUUAGUACACAAAACAGAGCUACUUCCCCAACUAGCUUGGGCAAGCAACGGAAUUUUGAACCAUUAUAAACUGACCAAAGUAUGAACCAGUUGCAUGCUCAGCGUGAAUUCUUGCCGGUGCUGUCCAUAUCAAGAAUUUUCAAUCAAUCUAAGCUAUUUACAUUUUUUAAAGUAUAUCUGAAAGGCUUAAAAUAGUGGAAUCAAAUGUUCCAAUCAAGUACAAUGGAAUACCUGAACAUCUUCCUAAAAUAAUAACAAAGAAAAAAACAUAGUAGUACUUGUAAGUAGUAACAUGCUCAACCGACAUCAAAGUACUAUUCAAUUCGAAUCCGACAGUUGUAGAAUGCCUAAACAGCAACGGCCAAAAGAGGCUGCAAGUAAUAACAACCAUAAGAUAUGGCAACAACCAAGAAUAAAAUGAGCUAGAAAAGGAAGUUAUAUUUUCCAAACACACCAGAUCACCAAGUGUAUGAUCUCGUAUUUGAGCGACAGAAUGCUUUUUUGUAGGUUUCUGGCCCGAGGUCAUGAUCAAAGUGGUGAUAGUUGAACAUAAAAAAAAAGAAUAAGGGAAAAAAAAACUAACCUUUUUAAAUUUGUAUUCCUUCCAUAAAGUAUCUGGUUAAGUGAUGACAGCUGAACAUAAAAAAAAAGAAUAAAAUAAGACUAAAUAUAAUGAAAAAAUUAUAAAUUAAUAGCAGAAUUAGAAGACUACUAGUUAAACUUUCUCGGAUGCUCCUGCCAACAAAUCUCAUUUGUGAGCUUUAUACUCGGCAACAAAAUCUCGUAAUGUUGACAGAAAAGAUCAUAAAUAUCCGUGAGAGAGUUAACCUACAAAAAUAUGAAUCAUUUUCCACACUACUCGUGUUCAUCUAACAUGUUCAAGUCCCUACUCCUUUACAAACUGCUAAACAUACUUCUCUUAACACUCAAUCAAUGAUUACUAGAGAUAAAGCUGGGAUUUCAAAACAAAAAAUAUGCAAUUCUGCUUACCUUGAUAUUGACUUAACACAAGAAAUUCCUAAAACCGUCAAACAGGCUGUUAAUUGCCCACACUGGUUCAAGACAAUGCAGGACGAGUAUGAUGUUUUGAUUAAAAAUAACACAUGGACUCUUGUUGAUCCUCCAUCCAAUGUACCAUCAUUGGUUGCAAAUGGGUGUUUGCAAUCAAAAGAGCUCCUGAUAAUUCUAUAAUUAGAUACAAAGCAAGGCUUGUAGGAAAGGGCUUUCAUCAAUAGGGAGGGAUUGACUAUAAUCAGAUUUUUAGCCCUGUGAUUUGGCCCUCUACUAUUAGAUUAGUUUUAAAUAAUAAAUAAAUUAUAAUUAAACACCCUGAAAUAUAAUUAUAGUUUAAUAUAAAUCUUAAAAUAUCAAAAGUACAUCAGCAACCUUAAAACAGCAACACCAGUAUAUUAUCGAACAGCAACAAUGAAACAGCAACACAUUAUAAAACACUAAAACAGCAACAUCAGUACAUUAUCAAAACACUAAAACAGCAACACUAGUACAUUAGCAACACCAUUCAGCAAAGCAGUGAUGACACUAAACUAAACACUAAAAACAGCAAAAUCAGUAUAUUAUACAACAUAUCAAAAGUUCAAAACAGAACAUUCAGUAACCAAGCAUUAGCAUUAGCAAGAAAAUGAUGACACUAAAUUAAACACUAAAAAUAGCAAAAUCAGUAAAUUAUAUAACAUCAAAAGUUCAAAACAGAGCAUUCAGUAACCAAGCAUUAGCAUUAGCAAGGGAAUGAUGACACUAAAUUAAAUAGAACAUUAGCAAGGAAGUGAUGACACUAAAACACUAAAAACAAUAAAAUCAGUACAUUAUACAACAUAUCAAAAGUUCAAAACAGAGUAUUCAGUAACCAAACAUUAGCAUUAGCAAAGCAGUGAUGACACUAAAUUAAAUAAGCAAAUUAUUUUUUCAAUGAAUAAAAAGAACAACUAAUUAUGGAAGAGAAAAAAAAGCAUGAAUAUAUGAUUACUGAUAAGAAGAAAUUGUGAUAGAUGAGUGAUUGUUGAAAGAGAAAAGAGAGUGAAUAGGAGCAGAGCAGCAUUAUAAUUGAGCUUUAGGUUAAGCAAACCCAUGAUGCUGUUCCAGAAUUCAAGAGAAAGAGGAGAUUCCAUUAAGAUUACACAACAACUCAGCAACACAUCACUAAUCAAUAAUCAUAAUACAUUCAAAAUCAAUAAUCAGUAAAUUAAAAUCACAAGUUCAAAGAUAGUCUUAAUUCUUGAUCUAAUUUUAAUCUGAAAAUGCUAUUGUGGGGCAAAAUACAUAC
rnacentral:lncRNA from 1 species